rnacentral:rRNA from 1 species
CACGUAGGGGGCAAGCGUUGUCCGGAAUUAUUGGGCGUAAAGAGCGUGUAGGCGGCCGGGUAAGUCCGGUGUGAAAACUCGAGGCUUAACCUCGAGAUGUCAUCGGAAACUAUUCGGCUAGAGUCCGGAAGAGGAGAGUGGAAUUCCUGGUGUAGCGGUGAAAUGCGCAGAUAUCAGGAAGAACACCCAUGGCGAAAGCAGCUCUCUGGGACGGUACUGACGCUGAGACGCGAAAGCGUGGGGAGCGAACAGG